rnacentral:rRNA from 1 species
UACGUAGGGGGCGAGCGUUGUCCGGAAUUAUUGGGCGUAAAGAGCGUGUAGGCGGUUCGGUAAGUCUGUCGUGAAAUCCUGGGGCUCAACCUCGGGCGUGCGAUGGAUACUGCCGGGCUAGAGGGUGGUAGAGGCGAGUGGAAUUCCCGGUGUAGCGGUGAAAUGCGCAGAUAUCGGGAGGAACACCAGUAGCGAAGGCGGCUCGCUGGGCCACACCUGACGCUGAGACGCGAAAGCUAGGGGAGCGAAC